UCCGGUUUAUUCCGGUGUUCUGACUGGAUUUACGGGCAGCACAGGUAAACACAACACCUGUUUCUAAGGACCUGUGAGGUCAGAGGUGACAACGAACUACAGGCCGCAGGCGUCCAGUCUGACCGCUUCCCUCUCGCUCUCCAGCUUCCCCUGCCGCUCAGCGUGACUUCCCAGAAUCCCCUGUGGCGUGAGAAGAGAAGCAGCUCUGCUUUCUGAUUGCACCGCAGCGUCUGAGUGGAGGAAUGACAGCUGAGGAGGUGAAAGGAGCCACCAGAGCCUCUCCAUCCGGCGGCCGGCCUCCGGCGCGGCGCGCUCCAGAGGUUGGAUUUGUCUAAUUGAAUUAGCGCCUGUGGCCUCUUGAAUGUGCAGCAUCAACAAGGGUUUAAUGGGAGUCAAAGCUUGGAAAGGAGCAAUAAUUCGCUGGCAAACAACACUAUGAAGAACGCCAGCCACCAGAUUAGUGCUGACAAACUGUAAUUGGAUUUCCUGUACACUUAAUUGAAUUGGACUAAAUGAGCAUUUGCCAGUUUGUUUGUUUUUUUUUGUUGUUGCCUUGAAUUCGGGUUACAGCCGGCAUGGAGAGGAGGGCAGAGUGCCAAACAUUUACCCAGGCAAAAGCACUGAGUUACUGUCAAAUGAUCAAUUAGUUAGUGUUUAAAAUUUACAUCAUCUGAGGAGCAAAAUAUAAAGUGGAAAAUUUGACAAUAAUUCAUAUUUCCUGGUUCUG